rnacentral:rRNA from 1 species
GUGGGGAAUAUUGGACAAUGGGCGAAAGCCUGAUCCAGCCAUGCCGCGUGUGUGAAGAAGGUCUUCGGAUUGUAAAGCACUUUAAGUUGGGAGGAAGGGCAGUAAGUUAAUACCUUGCUGUUUUGACGUUACCGACAGAAUAAGCACCGGCUAACUUCGUGCCAGCAGCCGCGGUAAUACGAAGGGUGCAAGCGUUAAUCGGAAUUACUGGGCGUAAAGCGCGCGUAGGUGGUUUUGUAAGUUGGAGGUGAAAUCCCCGGGCUCAACCUGGGAACUGCCUCCAAAACUGCAGGACUAGAGUACGGUAGAGGGUAGUGGAAUUUCCUGUGUAGCGGUGAAAUGCGUAGAUAUAGGAAGGAACACCAGUGGCGAAGGCGACUACCUGGACUGAUACUGACACUGAGGUGCGAAAGCGUGGGGAGCAAACAGGAUUAGAUACCCGAGUAGUCC